ensembl:processed_transcript
UUUUGUUACAAAUGGGUUAUAUCUUCACAGAAGUGUUGUUCAGCUACUAAAAUCUUUCGAUGAAAGAUUGAUAAGAUUUUAUAAAGGACCUUCUACAGCAUCAAUGAUGUAGAUUUUAAUUAAUUUAACAACAAAACAAAAGUAAAUAGCGCUACUCCGCUUAGUCUCUCCCUAUAUUGUUUACCAUGCAACUAUUUGCUCUGAAAUAGCAUGUCAGUUUGGCUUGCAUGCCGCCGGACAAGCACUAGUCGCUUUUAACACAUGGGAGAGGGUUAUUUUGCGGUGCUCGUGUUUCAGGAGUCGUGGCUCUAGAUGGCAGUGAAGGGCCAUGUGAGAGUUGCAGAUUAAUACCAAGUUGUUAGUAUUGUGGAAGAUCACCUACUGCACCUUUAAU